UGUACACACCGCCCGUCACACCACGAGAGUUUGUAACACCCGAAGUCGGUGAGGUAACCUUUUAGGAGCCAGCCGCCUAAGGUGGGAUAGAUGAUUGGGGUGAAGUCGUAACAAGGUAGCCGUAUCGGAAGGUGCGGCUGGAUCACCUCCUUU
rnacentral:rRNA from 9 species